CCCGCUGAACUUAAGCAUAUCAAUAAGCGGAGGAAAAGAGACUAACAAGGAUUCCCCUAGCAGCUGCGAGAGAAGCGACGAAAGCUCAAAUUUAAAAUCUGGUGUACUUUGGCCGUUGGAGUUGUAAUUUAGAGAAGCGUCUUCCGCGCCGGACCGUGCACAAGUCUCCUGGAAUGGAGCGGCAUAGAGGGUGAGAAUCCCGUCUUUGGCACGGACGCCUGGUGCUUCUGUGAUGCGCUCUCGAAGAGUCGAGUUGUUUGGGAAUGCAGCUCAAAAUGGGUGGUGAACUCCAUCUAAAGCUAAAUAUUGGCGAGAGACCGGUAGCGAACAAGUACCGUGAGGGAAAGAUGAAAAGCACUUUGGAAAGAGAGUGAAACAGUACGUGAAAUUGUUGAAAGGGAAACGCUUGAAGUCAGUCGCGUCGACCGAGACUCAGCCUUGCCUCGGCUUGGUGUACUUCUCGGCCCGACGGGUCAGCAUCAAUUUUGCCCCUCGGAUAAUGGCAAGGGAAAGGUGGCACCUUGGCGGGUGUGUUAUAGUCUCCUGUCGCAUGCGAGGGGUGGGAUUGAGGAACUCAGCGGGCCCCUUGGUGUCGGGGCUUCGGCCCACGUCACGCGCUUAGGAUGCUGGCGUAAUGGCUUUAAACGACCCGUCUUGAAACACGG
rnacentral:rRNA from 1 species